UGUACCUGAUCUAUGAAUACUGAGUCACUUUUAUCCCAGUGAGAUAACACACUUACUGUUUUUUAAAGGCAGAAGGCUACUGGAGAUUUUUGAAAUUGGAAAACUCAUUUUAAGGCCAGAGCUUGAGACGCUUUGCCUUACUGAGAGAACACCUGUUCCCACAAAGGCUGCUCUGAGGACCUUGGCAAAAAUCACUGCACCGAUAAAAGCUUCACAGCCAGGCAAGGAGAACAGCUGUGCUGAAUGCAGUGCUCUGCAGAGAAGCUGCAUGAUCCCACCUUCAGAACUUCCCACACCUGGGCUGCAGACACCCCUGUUCCUCAGGGGAACCAAGAGAUGCUUUGAGGCUUUUCUGAUUUUCUUCUCCUGCAAAGGGAAUGUUUUCAGGGGAGCUCCAGCCAUACUUCUUCCCCUCCUCUAUGCACACUACAUGGGAGAGAAGAAGAGAAGUUGUGCUGUACCUCACUUGCACGGCACGCAUACUGCAGGCACAGCCAGGGACUGACAAGCUCUCCAGCCAGCUGAACUACACCCAUCCAGCCCCACUGAGCUGCUUGCCUUUGCCCUGGCUUCACGAGUCUACCAUGUGCACAUGGGUGUUCUUGCAUGCUUCUCUGUGUUUUUACACACCUUACAUAUGGAAGAGGAACCACCUGUUUUACGUCAGACUUGAGAUGAUGCCAAGACACAACUGGCUCUGCAGUUGCUACCAGGGAAAUCCUGCUGAUUUUGAUCAAAGGAGAUAUUGGAAAGCAAAGAAAAUCUCAUCCACUUGUUGGUAUAUGUCUGUAGCCAUGCUUUCAGGGAACCUAAAUACAAACCCAUCAGCUGUGAGAACAGACAAAGUAAGCUGGGGCGUGUCAUCAAAUGUUAAAGUAAAAUUAAAUCUCAGUUUCUCUGCGAGUUCUGCUCAAGAGCCCAGCAUCAGCUAAAAGCAGCUCCAGCAGCACAAGGCUGCACACAAACAUGGCCAGCAGCCACAGGGCAACAAGGACCUGCCACAGGACCAAGGAUGGUGCUUGUGAAGCCCCUUGACAACUUUUGCUUAAUUUCAUCAACAUUUCUGCUUUAAACAAACAAAAAAAAUCUGCUUUAGACAGAAAAAAAAAAUAAAAAUGGAGGUACAAUGGUACCA
rnacentral:lncRNA from 1 species